rnacentral:rRNA from 1 species
UGGGGAAUUUUGGACAAUGGGCGCAAGCCUGAUCCAGCCAUGCCGCGUGCGGGAAGAAGGCCUUCGGGUUGUAAACCGCUUUUGUCAGGGAAGAAAUCUUCUGAGUUAAUACCUCGGGAGGAUGACGGUACCUGAAGAAUAAGCACCGGCUAACUACGUGCCAGCAGCCGCGGUAAUACGUAGGGUGCAAGCGUUAAUCGGAAUUACUGGGCGUAAAGCGUGCGCAGGCGGUUUUGUAAGACAGAGGUGAAAUCCCCGGGCUCAACCUGGGAACUGCCUUUGUGACUGCAAGGCUUGAGUGCGGCAGAGGGGGGAUGGAAUUCCGCGUGUAGCAGUGAAAUGCGUAGAUAUGCGGAGGAACACCGAUGGCGAAGGCAAUCCCCUGGGCCUGCACUGACGCUCAUGCACGAAAGCGUGGGGAGCAAACAGGAUUAGAUAGCCCUGGUAGUCCACGCCCUAAAA